rnacentral:rRNA from 1 species
GCCCUUUUCCGGUUGAUCCUGCCGGACCUGACUGCUAUCGGAUUGAUACUAAGCCAUGCGAGUCAUUGUAGCAAUACAAGGCAGACGGCUCAGUAACGCGUAGUCAAUCUACCCUAUGGACGGGGAUAACCUCGGGAAACUGAGAAUAAUACCCGACAGAACAUUAUGCCUGGAAUGGUUUAUGUUUUAAAUGAUUUAUCGCCGUAGGAUGGGACUGCGGCCUAUCAGUUUGUUGGUGAGGUAAUGGCCCACCAAGACUAUUACAGGUACGGGCUCUGAGAGGAGUGGCCCGGAGAUGGGUACUGAGACACGGACCCAGGCCCUAUGGGGCGCAGCAGGCGAGAAAACUUUGCAAUGUGCGAAAGCACGACAAGGUUAAUCCGAGUGGUUUCUGCUAAAGAAACCUUUUGUUAGUCCUAGAAACACUGACGAAUAAGGGGUGGGCAAGUUCUGGUGUCAGCCGCCGCGGUAAAACCAGCACCUCAAGUGGUCAGGAUGAUUAUUGGGCCUAAAGCAUCCGUAGCUUGCUUUGUAAGUUCUCGGUUAAAUCCAUGCGCUUAACGUAUGGGCUGCCGGUAAUACUGCAAAGCUAGGGAGUGGGAGAGGUAGACGGUACUCGGUAGGAAGGGGUAAAAUCCUUUGAUCUAUUGAUGACCACCUGUGGCGAAGGCGGUCUACCAGAACACGUCCGACGGUGAGGGAUGAAAGCUGGGGGAGCAAACCGGAUUAGAUACCCGGGUAGUCCCAGCUGUAAACUAUGCAAACUCAGUGAUGCAUUGGCUUGUGGCCAAUGCAGUGCUGCAGGGAAGCCGUUAAGUUUGCCGCCUGGGAAGUACGUACGCAAGUAUGAAACUUAAAGGAAUUGGCGGGA